rnacentral:sRNA from 1 species
CCACUGGUCUCAAACUCCUGAGCUCAAGUGAUCCACCCACCUCGGCCUUCCAAAGUGCUGGGAUUACAGACACGAGCCACUGCUCCCAGCCUCCAAUAUCUUCAGCAGAUUUCUAAGUCAAUAUGCCAUGCCCUGGAACAGGGUGGGGGGACCAUAGCCUCAGCGGACCACAGAGAGGAGGCCCUGUGGUCGGAAAAGGAGCUGGCAAGGGAGGAGCUGGGCUAGGGAAGCUUCGUCCCCUCACCCCCUUAGACAGCCCCCUGUGAGGUCUCUGAGGACCUGACAAGUCAGGGCUUGAGAGGGGCAGGCAGUUCAGGUGCAAGCCAGCUGCUGAGCUUAACAGAUCCAGAAAAAGAUCCUCUGUGACUCAUCAGAGCAUGCUGCCUCCUCCACCCAUGCCCUCCCCAUCCCCUGGGUGGCAGACCCAGGAAUGGGCCACGGAGGGCAGGGCUGGGCUGAUGAGCCUGUUGGGGCUCCUCUAGGGGAUGGCCAAGGCCAGCUGCCACCAUCCCUAUACCCAGGACCCCCUCACUCUACUCCUCCCACCCCCACACAGGGCACCUUCAGCCUGCGGAAGCUAUGGGCCUUCACGGGGCCUGGCUUCCUCAUGAGCAUUGCUUUCCUGGACCCAGGAAACAUCGAGUCAGAUCUUCAGACUGGCGCCGUGGCGGGAUUCAAACUUCUCUGGGUGCUGCUCUGGGCCACGGUGUUGGGCUUGCUCUGCCAGCGACUGGCUGCACGUCUGGGCGUGGUGACAGGCAAGGACUUGGGCGAGGUCUGCCAUCUCUACUACCCUAAGGUGAGCUUGGGGGGCCUGGACAGGGAGAACCACUGGCCCCAAACCCCAAACAGCCAUUUUCAGCUUCCACGAUCAAAUAAAUACAUCAUCUCACAUGGGGCAUCCCAAGUCUGUUUGUUUUUGUUGUUGUUUGUUUGUUUGUUUGUUUUUCAGUCGGAGUCUCACUCCGUCGCCCAGUCAGGAGUGCAAUGGUGCGAUGUCAGCUCACUGCAACCUCUACCUCCCAGGUGCCCCGCACCGUCCUCUGGCUGACCAUCGAGCUAGCCAUUGUGGGCUCCGACAUGCAGGAAGUCAUCGGCACGGCCAUUGCAUUCAAUCUGCUCUCAGCUGGACGGUACCACCCCAGUGUACCCCAACUCUUCAGGCCAGGCAGAGAACAGCUGCUGCUACUUCCCCCCACCCAGUCCCUCCCAGAGUCUAUUUUAUCCUGCUGUCCCCUCUGAAGCAGGGCUGCUGCCCUGUUUUCCAGAAAUGUAAAGUGACUUGUCUAAAGUCACACAGAUGUGAGUCAUGCAGGACUUUGGGACUGCAGCCCUAAACUCCCUGCUGCGCCGGGUGCCAGGUCUCUCCUCUAGCUCUGCCCUACCUCGACUGUUCUAUGCCACACUCCCACUCCCCUUGCCCUAGCUGUCUGGGGGCGCUUAGGGUCCUGCUCCCAGGAGGCCAGAUUCCUGUCUCCAGCCCUGAGGCUCCGUAGGAGUUAGAGACCCCUGGACCAGGCUGGGCUGACCCGGGCCACUCUGGUUUCAGAAUCCCACUCUGGGGUGGCGUCCUCAUCACCAUCGUGGACACCUUCUUCUUCCUCUUCCUCGAUAACUACGGGCUGCGGAAGCUGGAAGCUUUUUUUGGACUCCUUAUAACCAUUAUGGCCUUGACCUUUGGCUAUGAGGUAGGAAGCCAGUGCUGCAACCCCACCGUGGACCUCCCAAGAUCAUUCCUCUCCCUUCCCUCUGGCCGCGGGCUGCGGGGGGCUGGAGUGGGAUGGAGGCUGAGAAAUGGUGACCGCGGCGUGGUUGCGAGGGGCGGGACUUGUCCUGACCAGGCUCCUCCCUGCAGUAUGUGGUGGCGCGUCCUGAGCAGGGAGCGCUUCUUCGGGGCCUGUUCCUGCCCUCGUGCCCGGGCUGCGGCCACCCCGAGCUGCUGCAGGCGGUGGGCAUUGUUGGCGCCAUCAUCAUGCCCCACAACAUCUACCUGCACUCGGCCCUGGUCAAGGUGAGCAGAGGGGAGGGGAAAGGAGACCACCUCACUCAGUCGGAGUCAUGCUGGCUCCGCCUCCAAGCCUGGAGCCCCUCCCCUCUGGCUCCUUCCGUCAGGAUUUGCGGAGCCUGUAAUAAUUGAGGGUCAGGCGAGGCGCCAUGGCUCACGCCUGUAAUCCCAGCACUUUGGGAGGCGGAGGCGGGCGGAUCACGAGGUCAAGAGAUCGACACCAUCCUGGUCAACAUGGCGAAACCCCGUCUCUACUAAAAAUACAAAAACUAGCUGGGCGUGGUGGCGCGCGCCUGUAGUCCCAGCUGCUUGGGAGGCUGAGGCAGGAGAAUCGCUUGAACCCGGGAGGCAGGGGUUGCGGUGAGCCGAGAUCGCGCCACUGCACCACUCCAGCCUGGCGACAGAGCGAGACUCUGUCUCAAAAAAAAA